GACGAACGCUGGCGGCGUGCUUAACACAUGCAAGUCGAACGAAGUGGCGAACGGGUGAGUAACGCGUAAUCAACCUGCCCUUCAGAGGGGGACAACAGUUGGAAACGACUGCUAAUACCGCAUACUGAAGGAGGGGAUUGCGUCGGAUUAGCUAGUUGGAGGGGUAACGUCCCACCAAGGCGAGGAUCAGUAGGCGGUAGGAGAGGAUGAGCGGGCACAAUGGGACGUAGAAACGGCCCAGAGUCCUACGGGAGGAAGCAGUGGGGAAUCUUCCGAAAUGGACGAAAGUCUGACGGAGCAACGCCGCGUGAGGGAUGACGGCCUUCGGGUUGUAAAGCUCUGUUAAUCGGGACGCGGUACCGGAAGAGAAAGCCACGGCUAACUACGUGCCAGCAGCCGCGGUAAUUC
rnacentral:rRNA from 1 species